UUAAAUUGAAGAGUUUGAUCAUGGCUCAGAUUGAACGCUGGCGGCAGGCCUAACACAUGCAAGUCGAACGGUAACAGGAAACAGUUUGCUGUUU
rnacentral:rRNA from 1 species